CAAAUGUAUUUUUUACAGUGUAGGGCAGAGGCAGCUGGUCUGUCUUGCCCGUGUUUUGCUGCGAAAGACAAAAAUCCUGGUAUUAGAUGAGGCAACAGCUUCUGUUGAUACAGAAACGGAUCACUUGGUGCAGUCCACCAUCAGAAGAGAGUUUCACAACUGCACAAUACUAACUAUAGCCCACAGGUUACAUACAAUCAUGGAUUCCGAGAGAGUGCUUGUUCUGGACAGAGGAAGAAUUCUAGAAUUUGAUACACCCCAUAAUUUGUU